AUUGAACGCUGGCGGCAGGCCUAACACAUGCAAGUCGAACGGUAACAGGAAGCAGCUUGCUGCUUUGCUGACGAGCGGCGGACGGGUGAGUAAUGUCUGGGAAACUGCCUGAUGGAGGGGGAUAACUACUGGAAACGGUAGCUAAUACCGCAUAACGUCGCAAGACCAAAGAGGGGGACCUUCGGGCCUCUUGCCAUCGGAUGUGCCCAGAUGGGAUUAGCUAGUAGGUGGGGUAACGGCUCACCUAGGCGACGAUCCCUAGCUGGUCUGAGAGGAUGACCAGCCACACUGGAACUGAGACACGGUCCAGACUCCUACGGGAGGCAGCAGUGGGGAAUAUUGGACAAUGGGCGCAAGCCUGAUGCAGCCAUGCCGCGUGGAUGAAGAAGGCCUUCGGGUUGUAAAGUACUUUCAGCGGGGAGGAAGGGAGUAAAGUUAAUACCUUUGCUCAUUGACGUUACCCGCAGAAGAAGCACCGGCUAACUCCGUG
rnacentral:rRNA from 1 species